UCAACUCACUAGUAGGAGGUGCUGUAGCUAGAUCAACUCUCUAGUAGGAGGUGCUGUAGCUAGAUCAACUCUCUAGUAGGAGGUGAGGUAGCUAGAUCAACUCUCUAGUAGGAGGUGAUGUAGCUAGAUCAACUCUCUAGUAGGAGGUGCUGUAGCUAGAUCAACUCUCUAGUAGGAGGUGCUGUAGCUAGAUUAACUCUCUAAUAGGAGGUGCUGUAGCUAGAUCAACUCUCUAGUAGGAGGUGAUGUAGCUAGAUCAACUCUCCAGUAGGAGGUUAUGUAGCUAGAUCAACUCUCCAGUAGGAGGUGCUGUAGCUCGAUCAACUCUCCAGGAGGUGAUGUAGCUAGAUCAACUCUCCAGUAGGAGGUGCUGUAGCUAGAUCAACUCUCCAGGAGGUGCUGUAGCUAGAUCAACUCUCCAGUAGGAGGUGAUGUAGCUAGAUCAACUCUCCAGUAGGAGGUGCUGUAGACAGAUCAACUCUCCAGUAGGAGGUGCUGUAGACAGAUCAACUCUCCAGUAGGAGGUGCUGUAGACAGAUCAACUCUCCAGUAGGAGGUGCUGUAAACAGAUCAACUCUCCAGUAGGACGUGCUGUAGACAGAUCAACUCUCCAGUAGGAGGUGCUGUAGACAGAUCAACUCUCCAGUAGGAGGUGCUGUAGACAGAUCAACUCUCCAGUAGGAGGUGCUGUCGCUAGAUCAACUCUCUAGUAGGAGGUGCUGUAGCUAGAUCAACUCUCUAGUAGGAGGUGAUGUAGCUAGAUCAACUCUCCAGUAGGAGGUUAUGUAGCUAGAUCAACUCUCCAGUAGGAGGUGCUGUAGCUCGAUCAACUCUCCAGGAGGUGAUGUAGCUAGAUCAACUCUCCAGUA